rnacentral:rRNA from 1 species
UUUAUGAGAGUUUGAUCCUGGCUCAGGACGAACGCUGGCGGCGUGCCUAAUACAUGCAAGUAGAACGCUGAAGUCUGGUGCUUGCACUAGACGGAUGAGUUGCGAACGGGUGAGUAACGCGUAGGUAACCUGCCUCAUAGCGGGGGAUAACUAUUGGAAACGAUAGCUAAUACCGCAUAACAGUAUUUACCGCAUGGUAGAUAUUUGAAAGGAGCAAUUGCUUCACUAUGAGAUGGACCUGCGUUGUAUUAGCUAGUUGGUGAGGUAACGGCUCACCAAGGCUUCGAUACAUAGCCGACCUGAGAGGGUGAUCGGCCAC